UUAACUCAAAUCUGUAUGGAGUUGGAACGUUUGCCGUUAGCGUCGCUGUUCCAACUGCAUACAAAUUUGAGUAA
rfam:Bombyx mori DNA, contig: Bm_scaf118_contig38087, strain: p50T/Dazao, build 2, whole genome shotgun sequence.